GAGUGAUCAAGUGUCUUAAGGGCAUUUGGUGGAUGCCUUGGCAUGCACAGGCGAUGAAGGACGUGAUACGCUGCGAUAAGCGUCGGGGAGGUGCGAAUACCCUUUGAUCCGACGAUUUCCGAAUGGGGCAACCCACCUUAGAUGACUAGAAAAUCUGUUUUGUUGGAGCAACGCUGGAUGGGUUUACACCCAUACAGACCGCUAGGUCGUCGGCCCAUGUGGGCCGCCCCCGCGGAGCGCCAGCAUUCCUCUGGAAUGCGUACGGCGCGUGAGCGAGAACAGCACAGCUUUCUAGUCAUCAUAAAUAAGGUAUCUAACCUUGAAUACAUAGGGGUUAGAAGCGAACCUGGGGAACUGAAACAUCUAAGUACCCAGAGGAAAGGACAUCAAACGAGACUCCGCUAGUAGUGGCGAGCGAACGCGGACCAGGCCAGUGGCUUUUGUGAAUAAAGUGGAACGAGUUGGAAAACUCGACCGAAGUGGGUGAUAGUCCCGUACACGUAGAAUAGCAGAAGUCCUUGAGUAGGGCGGGACACGUGAAAUCCUGUCUGAACAUGGGUCGACCACGAUCCAAGCCUAAGUACUCGUGCAUGACCGAUAGCGAACCAGUACCGUGAGGGAAAGGUGAAAAGCACCCCGACGAGGGGAGUGAAACAGUACCUGAAACCGGAUGCCUACAAACAGUUGGAGCCCAAGGUUUGUCCUGGGUGACAGCGUACCUUUUGUAUAAUGGGUCAGCGACUUAGUGUAUCGAGCAAGCUUAAGCCGGUAGGUGUAGGCGCAGCGAAAGCGAGUCUGAACAGGGCGUUCAGUUCGAUGCAUUAGACCCGAAACCAAGUGAUCUAGCCAUGAGCAGGUUGAAGGUACGGUAACACGUACUGGAGGACCGAACCCAUAUCUGUUGCAAUAGAUCGGGAUGACUUGUGGCUAGGGGUGAAAGGCCAAUCAAACUUGGAGAUAGCUGGUUCUCCGCGAAAUCUAUUUAGGUAGAGCGUCGACCGAAUACCCCCGGGGGUAGAGCACUGGAUGGGCUAUGGGGACUCACCGUCUUACUGAUCCUAACCAAACUCCGAAUACCGGGGAGUACUAGUCGGCAGACACACGGCGGGUGCUAACGUCCGUCGUGGAGAGGGCAACAACCCUGACCACCAUCUAAGGUCCCUAAGUUAUGGCUAAGUGGGAAAGGAUGUGAGGAUCCCAAAACAACCAGGAUGUUGGCUUAGAAGCAGCCAUCAUUUAAAGAAAGCGUAACAGCUCACUGGUCUAAAUAAGGGUCUUUGCGCCGAAAAUGUACCGGGGCUCAAGCCAUACACCGAAGCUGUGGAUGCACGUAUGUGCGUGGUAGCGGAGCGUUCCGUAAGCCUGUGAAGGGACAGUCGUGAGACAUCCUGGAGGUAUCGGAAGUGAGAAUGCUGACAUGAGUAACGAUAAAGGGAGUGAGAGACUCCCUCGCCGAAAGUCCAAGGGUUCCUGCUUAAAGUUAAUCUGAGCAGGGUUAGCCGGCCCCUAAGGCGAGGCCGAAAGGCGUAGUCGAUGGGAACCACGUUAAUAUUCGUGGGCCUGCAGGUAGUGACGGAUCGCGUGUGUUGUGAGGUCUUAUUGGAUUGAUCUUGCAGCGAAGCGGUUCCAGGAAAUAGCUCCUGCAUAUAGACCGUACCCUAAACCGACACUGGUGGACUGGUAGAGAAUACCAAGGCGCUUGAGAGAACUGCGUUGAAGGAACUCGGCAAAAUGCACGCGUAACUUCGGAAGAAGCGUGACCUCACUAUGGGCAACCAUAGGGGGGUGGCACAGACCAGGGGGUAGCGACUGUUUACCAAAAACACAGGGCUCUGCGAAGUCGCAAGACGACGUAUAGGGUCUGACGCCUGCCCGGUGCUGGAAGGUUAAGAGGAGAGGUGCAAGCCUUGAAUUGAAGCCCCAGUAAACGGCGGCCGUAACUAUAACGGUCCUAAGGUAGCGAAAUUCCUUGUCGGGUAAGUUCCGACCUGCACGAAUGGCGUAACGACUUCCCCGCUGUCUCCAACGCAGACUCAGUGAAAUUGAAUUCCCCGUGAAGAUGCGGGGUUCCUGCGGUUAGACGGAAAGACCCCGUGCACCUUUACUAUAGCUUUACACUGGCAUUCGUGACGACAUGUGUAGGAUAGGUGGUAGACUUUGAAGCAGGGGCGCCAGCCUUUGUGGAGUCACCCUUGAAAUACCACCCUUGUUUUUAUGGAUGUCUAACUGCGGC
rnacentral:rRNA from 1 species